rnacentral:piRNA from 1 species
UGGAAGCUCAGGUGUGAGGGAGACUCAGA